CACCGUUUUGCCUUUGACUCCUUUUCUUUUUGGAUUUUGGGUUCCCAUCGAGAAACUGAUUUGGGGAGGGUACUACAUAGUUCUAGAUUUCUUUGCUUUCAGACGGGGAUUGAAGAGAGAAGAAAGAGAAACUGAUUUGGGAUGGGAACUGGGCACUCAAGUAUGGCAAACUCCAAAAGUUCAUCAAAUAUGAGAAAGAUGAUGUUACAGGUCAUAGAGCAAGCCACUGAUGCAGAGAAAGCAACGGCUGUGUGUGAGUUUCUUGAUUUCAAGUGCAGGAACAAGGUAAUCUUUCAUCAAAUCUGUCUAUCUGUUUUCUUUUCUUUGAAUGGUGGCGAUGUCUAUCUGUCUUUCAUCAUUUAAGUGACUCAGGAUAGGAGAAGAAGACAGACUAUGACUGUGUGGGCUUUGAACCGUCUUCGCUUAUUUCAUUCAGCUUUAUUCAGAAUCUUGGAUGGUUUGUGAAGUUGCUUUCAUACAAUGGAGGCUUGGAACUACAUCAAAAUAUGAUGGGAGAUUCUGUUCCUCUUUUAUGAUGAUUUUGACUCGGAGAGGCUGAAAGAAGUUAUUGAACAGAUCACGAGCUGUAGCUUCUUGCUCUUCCAACUACUGUCAGACAUUUGCUCAAGAGGAUUGAGAAACUGGAGCAGAGAUGGGAUACGUGUCCAGAAGAAAAAUGGAAGGUUAUCUUUAUCCAUUGAACAAGCAGUUAGAGAAAGGUUUUGAAGAGUUCCUGCAGAGAAGUUUAGAUUUUCAACAGCAGCAUGAAAUCAAUGUUGUAUUCUAUUUAGAUUUUCAUUAACCAUAUGAAAUCAAUGUCGUAUUCUAUUUAUAAUUUCAUUAAACAGGUGCGCACAUACUUUUAGACAGUGCAUUUUUUGAUGA